GUGAAGAACGUAGCGAAAUGCGAUAAGUAAUGUGAAUUGCAGAAUUCAGUGAAUCAUCGAAUCUUUGAACGCACAUUGCGCCCGCCAGUAUUCUGGCGGGCAUGCCUGUUCGAGCGUCAUUUCAACCAUCAAGCCCCCGGGCUUGUGUUGGGGACCUGCGGCUGCCGCAGGCCCUGAAAAGCAGUGGCGGGCUCGCUGUCACACCGAGCGUAGUAGAUUUUAUCUCGCUCUGGGCGUGCUGCGGGUUCCGGCCGUUAAACCACCCUUUUAACCCAAGGUUGACCUCGGAUCAGGUAGGAAGACCCGCUGAACUUAAGCAUAUCAAUAAGCGGAGGA
rnacentral:misc_RNA from 1 species